CAGGUGCCUUUAUCUACCCCAGCCACACAAAACAUGUCUCUCCUAUAUUAGUUUCUACAGCCACAGCAGGUGCUGUGACUCUCCAACAGCUUGACUUCACUUCCAAAGGCUCACUCUUCUAUUAUUGUGUCAUUAUUGCCAUGUUCCAUGAAUGAAUCCUCCAGGAACUGAGGCAGAGAUUUAAGAUUUAAGUAAACAGAUUAUCGAUUUUAAGGCUGGUCUUUCACCUCUUCUUGGAUCCCUUUCUACUAUCCUGCUGAGGCCAUCCAGAUUCCUGAGCUCCUGCGUUUGGAACUGUUUCGGAAAUGGCAGCCAGCACACGCUCCCUUGUUCACACGACGCUCUUCCU
rnacentral:lncRNA from 1 species